UGGGGAAUUUUGGGACAAUGGGGGGAAACCCCUGAUCCAGCCAUCCCCGCGUGUGCGAUGAAGGCCUUCGGGUUGUAAAGCACUUUUGGCAGGAAAGAAACGUCGCGGGUUAAUACCCCGCGAAACUGACGGUACCUGCAGAAUAAGCACCGGCUAACUACGUGCCAGCAGCCGCGGUAAUACGUAGGGUGCAAGCGUUAAUCGGAAUUACUGGGCGUAAAGCGUGCGCAGGCGGUCCGGAAAGAAAGAUGUGAAAUCCCAGAGCUUAACUUUGGGAACUGCAUUUUUAACUACCGGGCUAGAGUGUGUCAGAGGGAGGUGGAAUUCCGCGUGUAGCAGUGAAAUGCGUAGAUAUGCGGAGGAACACCGAUGGCGAAGGCAGCCUCCUGGGAUAACACUGACGCUCAUGCACGAAAGCGUGGGGAGCAAACAGGAUUAGAUACCCUGGUAGUCCACGCCCUAAACGAUGUCAACUAGCUGUUGGGGGCCUUCGGGCCUUGGUAGCGCAGCUAACGCGUGAAGUUGACCGCCUGGGGAGUACGGUCGGC
rnacentral:rRNA from 1 species